rnacentral:rRNA from 2 species
GCAUCCGUAGCCUGCUGCUCAAGUUUCCGGUUAAAUCCACACGCUUAACGUAUGGGCUGCCGGAAAUACUGUUCAGCUAGGGAGUGGGAGAGGUAGACGGUACUCGAUAGGAAGGGGUAAAAUCCUUUGAUCUAUUGAUGACCACCUGUGGCGAAGGCGGUCUACCAGAACACGUUCGACGGUGAGGGAUGAAAGCUGGGGGAGCAAACCGGAUUAGAUACCCGGGUAGUCCCAGCUGUAAACGAUGCAGACUCGGUGAUGCAUUGGCUUAUGGCCAGUGCAGUGCCGCAGGGAAGCCGUUAAGUUUGCCGCCUGGGAAGUACGUACGCAAGUAUGAAACUUAAAGGAAUUGGCGGGGGAGCACAAGCCG